CGCGGGCGCCUGCCAGCGCGCACGCCGCCUGCGCGCCGCCGGCGCAGCAUAAACCCGCGCAGCACACUAGCGCGUAGUUGCGCACUGACUCCCACAUCUGGAAAUGACAACAGAACAUCGGCACACAUUUCAUUCAUCACAGGCUUGUCGGGCAUAGAGAGUGCGACAUCGACUCCGUUGGUGCCCGUCGAGAGGCAUGACGUUUCAAGAGCCGUCUCAUUUGCUGUCCCUGUUCCAAAACAAACAAAGGAGGAGGCGAAGAGAACUGCCGCGACAGCGCCGGGCGCUGCCGAAUCGUGGCCCGCCGCCAGCUGCCGCCGGCACACGUGGGGACCUCAGCCAGAAGGUGCGCCCCGGCCGCUUCGCUGAUACCCACCUGAAUCAAACAGAAAUCUAAAGCGGACAGCCAACCUAGAGGAGCGAGGAGGGCAGCAGUAAGUGGCACCACGAGACCCGGCCUCAGCCCAGCGGCCGCUGCACCGAGGACCAUUGCGACACCCAGCACCAAACUCGCUGCGCCUCGCACGUUCUGACCUCGCCAUCGUUUAUGGGUCCUGUGGACUGCGAAAGAAUCCUGCCUAAGAAAUUGGUACUGAUAGCUAUGAAUGAAGGGUGUUAAGUACUCGACAUACGCACGGGAGGAAACGCGCGGGCGGCGAGCAGCGCGCGGCACACACACUCACCUUUACCUACCUCACCGGCAACGGACGAAUACCGAAUUAAUGUCAUAACUGUUUGGCCGGGAUUUAAAGUUGUAAUUAAGGCGGAA